CCUACGGGCGGCAGCAGUGGGGAAUAUUGGACAAUGGGCGAAAGCCUGAUCCAGCCAUGCCGCGUGUGUGAAGAAGGCCUUCGGGUUGUAAAGCACUUUCAGUGGGGAAGAAAGCCUUGGGGCUAAUACCCUCGAGGAAGGACAUCACCCACAGAAGAAGCACCGGCUAACUCCGUGCCAGCAGCCGCGGUAAUACGGAGGGUGCGAGCGUUAAUCGGAAUUACUGGGCGUAAAGCGCGCGUAGGCGGUCUGAUAAGCCGGUUGUGAAAGCCCCGGGCUCAACCUGGGAACGGCAUCCGGAACUGUCAGGCUAGAGUGCAGGAGAGGAAGGUAGAAUUCCCGGUGUAGCGGUGAAAUGCGUAGAGAUCGGGAGGAAUACCAGUGGCGAAGGCGGCCUUCUGGACUGACACUGACGCUGAGGUGCGAAAGCGUGGGUAGCAAACAGGAUUAGAUACCCUAGUAGC
rnacentral:rRNA from 1 species